UAGUUGGUGGAGUGAUUUGUCUGGUUAAUUCCGAUAACGAACGAGACCUUAACCUGCUAAAUAGUCAGGCCGGCUUUUGCUGGUCGCGGGCUUCUUAGAGGGACUGUCAGCGUCUAGCUGACGGAAGUUUGAGGCAAUAACAGG
rnacentral:rRNA from 1 species